UACGUAGGUGGCAAGCGUUGUCCGGCAUUUACUGGGCGUAAAGGAUGCGUAGGCGGAUGUUUAAGUGAGAUGUGAAAUACCCGGGCUCAACUUGGGUGCUGCAUUCAAACUGGAUAUCUAGAGUGCAGGAGAGGAAAGUGGAAUCCUAGUGUAGCGGUGAAAUGCGUAGAUAUCAGGAGGAACACCGGUGGCGAAGGCGGCCUGCUGGGCAGUAAGCUGACGACGAAGGCGCG
rnacentral:rRNA from 1 species